CCCCAUGGUGAUUAAAUGGCCGCAGUAAUAUGACUGUGCUAAGGUAGCAUAAUAAUUUGUCCUUUAAAUGAGGACUGGAAUGAAUGGUUCUAUGGAAACAUCUUAAUGAUUUUAUUAUAAUAUGAAUUUAAUAUUUAAGUUAAAAUUCUUAAAUGAGCUUAAAAGACGAGAAGACCCUGUGGAUCUUUGCUACUUAAUGCUUAUUAUUAUUAACAAAGUAAGUUUAACGGUAGUUUGAUUGGGACGAUUCUUUAUUUAACUAAGGUUAAUGAAAUUAUAUAUGAUCCUACUUAAGGAAAUAAGAUUAAGUUACCCCAGGGAUAACAGCGUUAUAUUACCGGAUAGUUCAUAUUGAUGGUAAUGUUU
rnacentral:rRNA from 1 species